GGAAGAAUGUAUAACGAAUGUGUCGUAUAAAAUUCUAGAUAGAAAACUGAUAAUGACWAUUAUCUAUCUAUUASUCUUGACCAAAUUACGUGCCAGCAGUCGCGGUAAUACGCAGAAGACAAGUGUUAUUCAUCUUUAAUAGGUUUAAAGGGUACCUAGACGGGAAAUCAAGCCAUAGUAGGGACUAAUUUUCUAGAGUUUUAUAGAUGAAAGUCGAAUGUCUGGAGUAGAGAUAAAAUAUAAUAAUACKAGAUGGACGGGCAACGGCGUAGGCAACUUUCUAUGUAAAAACUGACGUUGAGGGACGAAGCCCUAGGUAGCAAUAAGGAUUAGAUACCCCAGUAGUCCAGGGAGACAAUGAUGAGUGCCAUAGGCUAGAUAAAUUAGCUUAUAARUGAAAGUGUAAGCAYUCCACCUCAAGAGUAAAGCGGCAACGCCCAAAUUGAAAUCAUUAGACCGAUACUGAAACCAGUAGUGAAGUAUGUUAUUUAAUUCGAUGAUCCGCGAAUAACCUUACCACGUUUUGAAUACUUUUUGUAUGUGCUUUUAUCACCACAAHUUGUMCAAGCGCUGCRCGGCUGUCUUUAGUUAAUGUCGUGAGACUUUGGUUAACUUUAAUUAACAAAAACCCUUGUKUUAUUUGUUUAUAAAACAGUUAUCUGGGUAAUAUGGAUAAUAUAGUCANGGAUUAAAGGNAAGUCAUCAUGGGCCAUAAGUAGCGUGGGGCUAUAGACGUNGGCCA
rnacentral:rRNA from 1 species